rnacentral:rRNA from 1 species
GACGAACGCUGGCGGCGUGCCUAAUACAUGCAAGUAGGACGCAGUUGCGAACGGGUGAGUAACGCGUAGGUAACUACCUAUUAGAGGGGGAUAACUAUUGGAAACGAUAGCUAAUACCGCAUACUAGUAGAUGUACCUGCGUUGUAUUAGCUAGUAGGUAGGGUAAUGGCCUACCUAGGCAACGAUACAUAGCCGACCUGAGAGGGUGAUCGGACACACGGGGACUGAGACAAGGCGCAGACUGCGACGGGAGGCAGCAGGAGGGAAGAGUCGGCAAGGGGGGGAACCCUGACCGAGCAACGCAGCGUGAGUGAAGAAGGUUUUCGGAGGGUAAAACACUGUUGUUAGAGAAGAGGUAUCUAACCAGAAAGCCACGGCUAACUACGUGCCAGCCGCCGCGGUAAUUC